UUGUGUGGCAGCUCGGUCCCAUCUCCGCUCAUCUCCGGAGAAGGCGUCAGCGUACUCAGAGGAGAUCUUCUUAGCACGAGAGGACCGGGAGAGCUUGGCCUCUGGUGUGCCAGCUGUCGUGCCAACGGCAGAGGGAUGGGUAGCCGUGACGGUAGGGUCCUCACCGCUGAAGGCAUCU
rnacentral:rRNA from 12 species